GGAUGAAUAGAGACGAGGUAAAAUUCUGGCACCUAUCCACAGCCUGAACCUUGGAGAACACCUCCCUUUCAUAUGACUUCUGCAAAGGGCGUGUUUCAGCUCACAGGGACAAAGAGUCACUGCACCAGAGAACCAGAAAGAGUGAAGAAAUGUUUGUCCCCGGUGCUGAGAACACCAUCAGAUGAUCUUUCUGCCCAGAGCCACUAUCUGUCCCUAAAUAUCAGGUUUAUCAAUGCCUGGCCAUCUCUUUUCAAUUUGGGACAACUGCCAGCGACCACUAGCUAGCUCCAGAAUUCCUCAGUUACAGACACGGCUCACAGGCUUAAGCGUCUUGCUGUAGGUCAUACGGCAGGUUAAUGACAACACUGGGGCAAGAACACAGGUUACGCUCGUCCUGGGGAAGGCUCCCACACCAAGCUACACACUUCUGCAAUGCUGUUCCAGAUGUGAAAAUCCGCUAAGACAAAUAGGUCACAAAAACACCAUGGGAAACGAUGAUGUCUUUUCCUUUUUGUUAUCUUGAUAAAGCUUCAUACAUGAUGUCUUACUCCACAACGAGGUGCAAGAUCUUGAGGCUGGAUUUAGAAAGAGGAAGAGAAGACCAAUUGCACAGCUCAUCACCCCUCACCCAUCUGAUGAUAUGAAAGGUUUGAAGGAAGCCAGAGCUGGAGCAAGAUUUUCCUCAGAUGAGUUUUGAUGAACUACAAAGAAUGAAGAUGCUCUCCCUUGUCAUCCCCAGUCAAAGAAAAGGCACUUUAAAGAAAUCACUCACGAGC
ensembl:lncRNA novel transcript